GACUACUCCGGUGGCUUAGAGGUUAGAGCGUCUGCCCCGUAUGCGGGAGGUCGCAGGUUUGAGACCCCGGUCAAGUCA